ACGGAAGGCAGCAGUGAGGAAUAUUGGUCAAUGGACGGAAGUCUGAACCAGCCAAGUCGCGUGAAGGAUGAAGGUAUUAUGUAUUGUAAACUUCUUUAGCAGUGGAGUAAUAAGGGGAUCGCGAUCCCUGAUGCAAGUACACUGAGAAUAAGGAUCGGCUAACUCCGUGCCAGCAGCCGCGGUAAUACGGAGGAUCCGAGCGUUAUCCGGAUUUAUUGGGUUUAAAGGGUGCGCAGGCGGACCUUUAAGUCAGCGGUGAAAUCCCGUAGCUCAACUACGGAACUGCCGUUGAUACUGGAGGCCUUGAGUCGUGUCGAGGAUGGCGGAAUGCAGCGUGUAGCGGUGAAAUGCUUAGAUAUGCUGCAGAACUCCGAUUGCGAAGGCAGCUGUCCAGAGACGAACUGACGCUGAGGCACGAAAGCAUGGGUAUCAAACAGGAUUAGAUACCCUGGUA
rnacentral:rRNA from 1 species